GAUGAACGCUGGCGGCGUGCUUAACACAUGCAAGUCGAACGAAGCACUUUAUUUGAUUUCCUUCGGGACUGAUUAUUUUGUGACUGAGUGGCGGACGGGUGAGUAACGCGUGGGUAACCUGCCUUGUACAGGGGGAUAACAGUUGGAAACGGCUGCUAAUACCGCAUAAGCGCACAGCAUCGCAUGAUGCAGUGUGAAAAACUCCGGUGGUAUAAGAUGGACCCGCGUUGGAUUAGUUAGUUGGUGAGGUAACGGCCCACCAAGGCGACGAUCCAUAGCCGACCUGAGAGGGUGACCGGCCACAUUGGGACUGAGACACGGCCCAAACUCCUACGGGAGGCAGCAGUGGGGAAUAUUGCACAAUGGGCGAAAGCCUGAUGCAGCGACGCCGCGUGAGCGAAGAAGUAUUUCGGUAUGUAAAGCUCUAUCAGCAGGGAAGAUAAUGACGGUACCUGACUAAGAAGCACCGGCUAAAUACGUG
rnacentral:rRNA from 1 species